rnacentral:rRNA from 1 species
CACCGGAGAGGGAGCCUGAGAAACGGCUACCACANNNNNNNAUGGCAGCAGGCGCGCAAAUUACCCAAUCCCGACACGGGGAGGUAGUGACAAUAAAUAACAAUACGGGGUUCUUUAGGAUCUCGUAAUUGGAAUGAGUACAAUUUAAAUCUCUUAACGAGGAACAAUUGGAGGGCAAGUCUGGUGCCAGCAGCCGCGGUAAUUCCAGCUCCAAUAGCGUAUAUUAAAGUUGUUGCAGUUAAAAAGCUCGUAGUUGAAUUUCGGGGUUAGUAGGUUGGUCAUGCCUCUGGUAUGUACUGGUCUCACUGAUUCCUCCUUCCUUAUGAACCGUAAUGCCAUUAAUUUGGUGUUGCGGGGAAUUUGGACUGUUACUUUGAAAAAAUUAGAGUGUUUAAAGCAAGCUAAC